UGAAUCUUACCCACAUAUCAAAUUUAUGUAUAGCUUGUGUUCACACAUUCAUGUUUGCCCUUUGCAUCAGAAACAACUAAAGUUAGCUCACACACCUUAGUAGAGAUGCACCAUGACCGAUGCCUUCCCAUGGAAACAACACUUGUUGACGAUUCUUGCAACAUAUCUCGGCGCUAAUUUGUCAUAAUCACCAAAGCCUGAAGCACCCACGGUGGACCACUGGAAGCUGGGCAUGAGGGGUAAAGUGUUCUACUGCCGUCAAUGCCCGUAGUGGCUCAUCCAGUACCAAACAGUACAGUCGGGCCCCUUGUCGAUCCCUCCACGAUCGAUAGUGCCAUGUGCACAAACCAUUUUCUGUCUUUAUCAUCACCUGCAAUCACAAAAUGAUCAAAACCAAGAAAAUAAUAACAAAACCAAAGAACACCAAAGGACAGUGUAUCCAAUAAAUCAACACCAACGAUGCAACAAUAAUUAGACAUACAACAACAACACUAAAGGAGUUCACAGCACCUACUUGUUUUUUGUGGGUAUAUAUAAGCUCUCACAUUUUGCAUUACAAGUAAGAGACCAAAAAAUGAUACAUACUUGCCCGUGCAUUGCAAUGGGGCGAAAAUAUUCUAGUUGUGUUCCACACCAGUUUGUGUUAAAUAUGUAGUACCUGACCAAGUAGUACCCGACAACCUUGUUAUUCAUUUGGCUGCCUUUGGCAACCUUUGUUAACCUGACCAAGUAGCAGCAUUGAUGUUUCGAAAAAAAGUAGCAGCACUGAGGACAAUGAAGAUCAUACCCUCCCAUCAAUCUAUGUUCAUGCUAAAAAAGGCAUUAUUUUGUUGGAUAUAAUUAGUAUUCUGGAGCAUGUGAAAUGGGGAGCACACUACCUUUAGGGUUAGAAUCUCAUGAAGUUGCGAUUCUAAUGGUGUCAACGCUCUACAGCUAAACACAAUUGAGAUAUCCGUAUUUAGGAUAUGAACACUAUUCAUAGAAACAAAAAUGUAUCAUAAAAAUAUAAGAACCAAAAGGAGACAGGGAUGCCUUAGAAGAUACCACUAAAAGGCAGAUCAGGAAAAUCAUCACUUAUUGAUGCCACAUUUGUCGUUAUCUCACUGCCCGAUUAGAUAAUUUGGGAAAAGGAAAUGAUAACUCAACCUGCCUUUUCUGAAUUUGGAAGAAACAUAGGAGUGUGGAAGCUCGGUGUCAUCACCUGACUUGAUUCCAGCGAGCUUGUCCAUGGUGAUGAUUGCCUACAAUACCACAGACGUGACUCGCCCCACGCUAGCUACUGCUUCGCCGCUGCCUCACUUUUCACAGGGGUUCCUUGUCAAGGCUUGAUGCAUGUGUACUACAUUCAGAGUUUUGGUCUGCAUGUAAACAAAAGAUAGAGGCGAGCCCUCAAAAUUAAGACAAAUUUAUCCUACAGCAUCGGACAUUUCCAAUCAAUCAAUGGAGCAUUCCAUGUCAUGCAUAUAUUUC
rnacentral:lncRNA from 1 species